GCUCGUAUAGUUCAGUGGAUAGAAUACUCGCCUCCUAAGCGAGGGGUCGCUGGUUCGAAUCCAGCUACGAGCAC
rnacentral:tRNA from 2 species